UAAUACGGGCGGAGCGAGCGUUGUUCGGAAUUAUUGGGUGUAAAGGGUGCGCAGGCGGUCGAUUAAGUCGAAAGUGAAAUGUCCACGGCUCAACCGGGAAUCUGCUUCCGAUACUGGUCGACUUGAGUGCGGGAGGGGAGCGUGGAAUUCCUGGUGUAGCGGUGAAAUGCGUAGAUAUCAGGAGGAACACCUGUGGCGAAGGCGACGCUCUGGCCCGUAACUGACGCUCAUGCACGAAAGCCAGGGGAGCGAACGGGAUUAGAUACCCCGGUAGUCCUGGCCGUAAACGUUGGGCGCUAGGUGUGGGGGGUAUCGACCCCCUCCGUGCCGUAGCUAACGCAUUAAGCGCCUCACCUGGGGAGUACGACCGCAAGGUUG
rnacentral:rRNA from 1 species